AGUGCUUCCAGAAAGUGUUGCUGGCGAGUAGAAUAGGAACAGCAGGUCGGAUAUGCAACUAAAUUACUUAGGAUCUACAUUAUAAUAAGUCAGUCAGUGGGAGGACCCAGUAUACAGAUAAUCCAAGUUUCCAUCUCAAAUGGGUAGGCUCAAGGUAAUCUUCUUAUUCAUAGUUCAAAUUAUUUCCUUCUCGACCUCAUUCUUUAUCUGUGGCACAACCCUGUGGAAACUCCUACCCAGAUGUUCCCCAAAGUGGAACUGACUAGAUGGGCUUUGUGUCUAACUGCUGUUUACUUCAUUUGCAUGCAAUGUUCUCACGGUAAUGUCAUAAUGUGGGUGCCCACUGCCAGAACUACCAGGAAUGGUAUUUGGGUGGUUUCGGCUUUUAUUGAAAUCAAGACUCCAGCUAAUCCAUUUCCUACUCUGUGCUUGUCCUGUCUCUGUAGACAAAAGAAGCCAAAUCAUCCCCUCAUUUUUCCAUUUUUCUCUCCUUCUUUUGCCUCUCUCUUUAUUUAAGAAUUUGCUACAUUAACUAGAUCAAGUACCUUUAAUAUCUUUCCCUCCUCCUACAUAAGGGAUUUCCAUUAAGAAUUCCCUGUCUGGGGGCUGGCCCCAUGGCUGAGUGGUUAAAGUUCCACUCACUCUACUUUGGCCACCCACGUUCGCGGAUUUGGAUCCUGGGCACAGAUUUACUCCAUUUGUCAGCCAUGCUGUGGAGGUGUCCCACCGACAGGGUGGAGGAAGAUAGGCAUAGAUGUUGGCUCAGGGCUAAUCUUCCUCGAGCAAAAGAAAGGUGGAUUGGCGGGCGAUGUUAGCUCAGGGUAAAAUCUUCCUCACAAAAAAAGGAGUUCACUGUCUGAUAAAUACCACCACUCAUUAACCAGAUCUUUCAUUUCUUUAAAGGAAAUUAAAAAAUAUAAUUUUCAUAUAAGAUCUCCAGAUAUUUAAAUGUUCACAGUAAAAUUAAAUAGAUAGUCGGGGCUGGCCCCGUGGCUGAGUGGUUAAGUUCACGCGCUCCGCUGCAGGCGGCCCAGUGUUUCGUUGGUUCGAAUCCUGGGCGCGGACAUGGCACUGCUCAUCAAACCACGCUGAGGCAGCAUCCCACGUGCCACAACUAGAAGAAUCCACAACGAAGAAUACACAACUAUGUACCGGGGGGCUUUGGGGAGAAAAAGGAAA
rnacentral:lncRNA from 1 species